rnacentral:rRNA from 1 species
CCUACGGGUAGCAGCAGUGGGGAAUAUUGCACAAUGGGGGAAACCCUGAUGCAGCGACGCCGCGUGAGUGAAGAAGUAUUUCGGUACGUAAAGCUCUAUCAGCAGGGAAGAAAAUGACGGUGCCUGACUAAGAAGCCCCGGCUAACUACGUGCCAGCAGCCGCGGUAAUACGUAGGGGGCAAGCGUUAUCCGGAUUUACUGGGGGUAAAGGGAGCGUAGACGGCAGCGCAAGUCUGGAGUGAAAUCCCAUGGCUUAACCAGGGAACUGCUUUGGAAACUGGGCAGCUAGAGUGCAGGAGAGGUAAGCGGAAUUCCUAGUGUAGCGGUGAAAUGCGUAGAUAUUAGGAGGAACACCAGUGGCGAAGGCGGCUUACUGGACUGUAACUGACGUUGAGGCUCGAAAGCGUGGGGAGCAAACAGGAUUAGAUACCCUUGUAGUC